AUUGAACGCUGGCGGCAGGCCUAACACAUGCAAGUCGAGCGGAUGAAGGGAGCUUGCUCCUGGAUUCAGCGGCGGACGGGUGAGUAAUGCCUAGGAAUCUGCCUGGUAGUGGGGGAUAACGUCCGGAAACGGGCGCUAAUACCGCAUACGUUCUGAGGGAGAAAGUGGGGGAUCUUCGGACCUCACGCUAUCAGAUGAGCCUAGGUCGGAUUAGCUAGUUGGUGGGGUAAAGGCCUACCAAGGCGACGAUCCGUAACUGGUCUGAGAGGAUGAUCAGUCACACUGGAACUGAGACACGGUCCAGACUCCUACGGGAGGCAGCAGUGGGGAAUAUUGGACAAUGGGCGAAAGCCUGAUCCAGCCAUGCCGCGUGUGUGAAGAAGGUCUUCGGAUUGUAAAGCACUUUAAGUUGGGAGGAAGGGCAGUAAGUUAAUACCUUGCUGCUUUGACGUUACCAACAGAAUAAGCACCGGCUAACUUCGUG
rnacentral:rRNA from 1 species